UUGUGUAUAUUUUUGGUUAUUGCCUUGGCUGUUAUCCACUACCACAAGCAGCUGCAAGAUUAAACAACUGUCUUUAAUUGUGAUUACCAUCUCCUGUGGAAAGUCUCUUCACACUGGGUAAACGUUGAGUCAGAUCAAAUAAAGGCAGGCUUCCUAGUGAAAGUGGGGUUUUUCAGAGCCACCAGAUGGGUCAAAUAACCACAUUUCUCUGGUAGUGAGUAAAGAUGGAGCUCCAACCUAGUUUUGCCACCUCCAGUGGCUGUCAGUUGCUGGUUUUAUUGUAGUUGCAGCUGUUGGAUUAGAGGCAACCACAGUCACAGAGAUGGGUGGAUGGAAAUAAGAUAAAACACCACAAAGCUAUUUGUUCUUAUACAGCUUCAGUCAUUUUUUCCUUGAAAAAAUUUCUCCUGAAUUGCUGCCUACCUUUGGUUAUUCGGGAGCACUGACAAAGUUAAUUCUGACAAUUUUUGCCAAUCUUCUUGUUGGUUUUAUGGAGGAGAAAAUUUUCAAGAGUACUUUGUCAUUUCUGCUGACUCUAUUGGGUCUUUUUUUUUUUUUUCGAGGAAGAUUAGCUCUGAGCUAACUGCUGCCAAUCCUCCUCUUUUUACUGAGGAAGACUGGCCCUGAGCUAACAUCUGUGCCCAUCUUCCUCUACUUUAUAUGUGGGACGCCUACCACAGCAUGGCUUUUGCCAAGCGGUGCCAUGUCCACACCCGGGAUCCGAACCAGCGAACCCCGGGCCAGCAAAGCAGAACAUGCGAACUUAACCUCUGUGCCUCCAGGCUCAGCCACUAUUGGGUCUUAACCCUGGUUUGGACUGUGAACUUUGUCUUCUGUCCUCGACACCCCACGAGAAACACAAAGCUGAAGUUUGCCUGAUAAUACCAAUGCUGUUAAGAGUAUAGCAUAGUGGUUCCGAGACAGUAGAACAGAAAUGUUGAGCACUGCUUCUCUGAAGUCGGACUGACCACUGAAUUUAUCAAGGUCAAUGAUUACCUAUGACACUAUGGACAAUUUACUUAACCUCUGUUUGUCAGGUCCCCCAUAUAAAAGUGAGGGAUGCUACUUCACUGGGUUAUUGGAAGAAUUAAAAGUUAUAAUAUUUUCAAAACACUUAGAUCAUUACCAAACAUGGACAAUAUGUUAAAUAUUACCAUGCAUGUAUUUUCCACUCUGAAUAUUAAACUCUAUGAGGACAUAAAUAACUCUUAUUUAGCUUUUCAUAUUGCAGUAAAUAAUGCAAAUUCUAUCAAAAUUCUUUGUUUUUGUUGUUGUUUUUACCAUUUGAUCCUUGGAAAAUCCUCUUUUACUUACAAAGUUGUAUUUAUUUUCUUUCCCAUUAUUUUCCUGAAAUUGUUCCUUUUCCCCUUUCAUAAUACCUAGAACUUUAAAAAUAAAAACUCAGAAUUGCCACUUUU
rnacentral:lncRNA from 1 species